rnacentral:rRNA from 1 species
UGUGUAGGUGGUUGUCAUAGUCAGGUGUGAAAGCCUUGAGCUCAACUCAAGAAAUGCACUUGAUACUGGGCAGCUAGAGGACCGGAGAGGAUAGUGGAAUUCCCAGUGUAGUGGUGAAAUACGUAGAUAUCAGGAGGAACACCGGUGGCGAAGGCGUCCAUCUGGCCCGAUACUGACGCUGAGGCGCGAAAGCUAGGGUAGCAAACG